CACACCUGAGGCCUUCUGAGUACAAGAGAUCUCGAUGAUCCAGAAACAGGUUUCACGUUUCUUUAUUAUGCUGAGAAAAACGACGGAGGAAAAGCUGGUGCUGAAGGCGGAGAAGGAGAAGACGGAACAGCAGUUAAAGUCUAUGAUGGUUCCAUCUUCAGGGUUCAUGCCUCUUGAAGAAUUCGGAAUUGUCUUUUCUUUAAUGUCAUUUGAAUCUCUUGAAGCUAAGUUGUGUGGAUGAAUGGUGUGUAUAGGUUGCGAAGAUGGCUGGAGAAGAGUGGAAGAACUUGACUGAGAAACAAAAGGCUCCCUACGAUAAGAUGGCAAAGAAGAACAAGGAGAUAUACCUGGAAGAACAAGGAGAUAUACCUGGAAGAACUUUUUCGAACAGAUGACAACAUCAUAAAGAAUGGUGUGGCUCGAUCCACUAUCCACAAUGAUAUCCAUAUUGUCUUGCAUAUCUUUUCGCCAAAUGGAUUUCUGACCGGCUUAUGAUCUGGGAGCUAAAGACCACAGAUAUCUACUGGAAACUCCUGAGAAUGAUGGCCAGAAGGGAGGACGAACAGCUGCUACAAUGGAGGAACCACCGCUUGGAAAGAAUCACCCGCUAAGGUGGGACAGCGCCGAUUGUUUUGAGUCUUGAGGGCGCGUCUGGUGUCGGAUUGAGGAGCGGUUUUCACCACUAGAUUCUUCUCUUCCAGGGCUUCAAAAUGAUAUGUAGAUCGCCUUCUAACUCCUUGUAUUUUGAGAGAUACGAUCGUUUGAAGUUGAGCUUCGUGCUGAUAACGUAUUAAGGGAAAAACUCUUAUCUUAUUGUUUCCAUAAGCAGUGUAUAUAUACAUUACAUAACUAAU